UGAGAUAACUCUCUCUAAGGAACUCGGCAAAAUAACCUCGUAACUUCGGAAGAAGAGGUGCCAUAUUAGUGUGUAAGACUUCGCGUCUGAAGCAUGAGAUGGUCGCAGCGACGAGGCUCAAGCGACUGUUUAUCAAAAACACAGGUCUCUGCUAAACCGUAAGGUGAUGUAUAGGGGCUGACUCCUGCCCAGUGCCGGAAGGUUAAGUGGAUCGGUUAGCGCAAGCGAAGCUGAAAAACAAAGCCCCGGUGAACGGCGGCCGUAACUAUAACGGUCCUAAGGUAGCGAAAUUCCUUGUCGGGUAAGUUCCGACCCGCACGAAUGGAGUAACGAUUUGAGCGCUGUCUCGGAGAGAGACUCGGCGAAAUAGGAUUGUCUGUGAAGAUACGGACUAGGCGUGCCAGGACAGAAAGACCCUAUUGAGCUUUACUGUAGGCUGAAAUUGUCUGCGGGCUAUAUCUGCGCAGGAUAGGUGGGAGACUUUGAAGUCAGAAUUUUGGUUCUGAUGGAGUCAACGUUGAGAUACCACUCUGAUGUAGCUAGCAUACUAACCUGAUUCCGUUACCCGGGUCGGGGACAGUUUCAGUUGGGCAGUUUGACUGGGGCGGUCGCCUCCUAAACAGUAACGGAGGCGCCCAAUGGUUCCCUCAGGCUGGUCGGAAAUCAGCCAUCGAGCGUAAAGGUAGAAGGGAGCUUGACUGAGAGAGAGACAUCUCGAUCAGGGACGAAAGUCGGGCUUAGUGAUCCCACGACUCCGCAUGGAAGGGUCGUUGCUCAUCGGACAAAAGUUACCAUAGGGAUAACAGGCUGAUCUCGCCCAAGAGUCCACAUCGACGGCGAGGUUUGGCACCUCGAUGUCGGCUCAUCGCAUCCUGGAGCGGUAGUAGGUUCCAAGGGUUGGGCUGUUCGCCCAUUAAAGCGGUACGUUAGCUGGGUUCAGAACGUCGUGAGACAGUUCGGUCCAUAUCCGGCAUGCCCGUAGGAUUUUUGAGAGGAGUCGUCCCUAGUACGAGAGGACCAGGACGAACGAACCGCCAGUAUGGCUGUUAUCGCGCCAGCGGUAAACGCAGCGUAGCUGUGUUCGGAGCGGAUAAGUGCUGAAAGCAUAUAAGUACGAAGCCCACCUCAAGAUGAGAAAUCCCAUGGAGUUAAUCCAGUAAGACCCCCAGAAGACCACUGGGUUGAUAGGAUGCAGGUAGAAGUGCCCCGCAAGGCAAGCACGUAGCUGAGCAUUACUAAUCGGUCGAGGGCUUAACC
rnacentral:rRNA from 1 species